rnacentral:rRNA from 1 species
AUUGAACGCUGGCGGAAUGCUUUACACAUGCAAGUCGAACGGCAGCACGGACUUCGGUCUGGUGGCGAGUGGCGAACGGGUGAGUAAUGUAUCGGAACGCGCCCAGUCGUGGGGGAUAACGUAGUGAAAAUUACGCUAAUACCGCAUACGAUCUAUGGAUGAAAGCGGGGGAUCGCAAGACCUCGCGCGAUUGGAGCGGCCGAUAUCAGAUUAGGUAGUUGGUGGGGUAAAGGCCCACCAAGCCAACGAUCUGUAGCUGGUCUGAGAGGACGACCAGCCACACUGGAACUGGGACACGGUCCAGACUCCUACGGGAGGCAGCAGUGAGGAAUUUUGGACAAUGGGCGAAAGCCUGAUCCAGCCAUUCCGCGUGCAGGAUGAAGGCCCUCGGGUUGUAAACUGCUUUUGUACAGAACGAAAAGGUUUCUACUAAUACUAGGAGCUCAUGACGGUACUGUAAGAAUAAGCACCGGCUAACUACGUGCCAGCCGCCGCAGUAA